UAUGAAUAAGGAUCGGCUAACUCCGUGCCAGCAGCCGCGGUAAUACGGAGGAUCCGAGCGUUAUCCGGAUUUAUUGGGUUUAAAGGGAGCGUAGGUGGACUGGUAAGUCAGUUGUGAAAGUUUGCGGCUCAACCGUAAAAUUGCAGUUGAUACUGUCAGUCUUGAGUACAGUAGAGGUGGGCGGGAUUCGUGGUGUAGCGGGGAAAUGCUUAGAUAUCACGAAGAACUCCGAUUGCGAAGGCAGCUCACUGGACUGCAACUGACACUGAUGCUCGAAAGUGUGGGUAUCAAACAGGAUUAGAUACCCUGGUAGUCCACACAGUAAACGAUGAAUACUCGCUGUUUGCGAUAUACAGUAAGCGGCCAAGCGAAAGCAUUAAGUAUUCCACCUGGGGAGUACGCCGGCAACGGUGAAACUCAAAGGAAUUGACGGGGGCCCGCACAAGCGGAGGAACAUGUGGUUUAAUUCGAUGAUACGCGAGGAACCUUACCCGGGCUUAAAUUGCAGUGGAAUGAUGUGGAAACAUGUCAGUGAGCAAUCACCGCUGUGAAGGUGCUGCAUGGUUGUCGUCAGCUCGUGCCGUGAGGUGUCGGCUUAAGUGCCAUAACGAGCGCAACCCUUAUCUUCAGUUACUAACAGGUCAUGCUGAGGACUCUGGAGAGACUGCCGUCGUAAGAUGUGAGGAAGGUGGGGAUGACGUCAAAUCAGCACGGCCCUUACGUCCGGGGCUACACACGUGUUACAAUGGGGGGUACAGAAGGCAGCUAGCGGGUGACCGUAUGCUAAUCCCAAAAGCCUCUCUCAGUUCGGAUCGAAGUCUGCAACCCGACUUCGUGAAGCUGGAUUCGCUAGUAAUCGCGCAUCAGCCACGGCGCGGUGAAUACGUUCCCGGGCCUUGUACACACCGCCCGUCAAGCCAUGGGAGCCGGGGGUACCUGAAGUACGUAACCGCAAGGAUCGUCCUAGGGUAAAACUGGUGACUGGGGCUAAGUCGUAACAAGGUAGCCGUACCGGAAGGUGCGGCUG
rnacentral:rRNA from 1 species